GACGAACGCUGGCGGCGUGCUUAACACAUGCAAGUCGAACGGAAAGGCCCUGCUUUUGUGGGGUGCUCGAGUGGCGAACGGGUGAGUAACACGUGAGUAACCUGCCCUUGACUUUGGGAUAACUUCAGGAAACUGGGGCUAAUACCGGAUAGGAGCUCCUGCUGCAUGGUGGGGGUUGGAAAGUUUCGGCGGUUGGGGAUGGACUCGCGGCUUAUCAGCUUGUUGGUGGGGUAGUGGCUUACCAAGGCUUUGACGGGUAGCCGGCCUGAAAGGGUGGCCGGCCACAUUGGGACUGAGAUACGGCCCAGACUCCUACGGGAGGCAGCAGUGGGGAAUAUUGCACAAUGGGCGGAAGCCUGAUGCAGCAACGCCGCGUGCGGGAUGACGGCCUUCGGGUUGUAAACCGCUUUCGCCUGUGACGAAGCGUGAGUGACGGUAAUGGGUAAAGAAGCACCGGCUAACUACGUG
rnacentral:rRNA from 1 species